GGGCAGGUAGCUCAGCAGGUAGAGCAACGGACUGAAAAUCCGUGUGUCGGCGGUUCGAAUCCGCCCCUGCCCA
rnacentral:tRNA from 1 species